UUGGAGGGCAAGUCUGGUGCCAGCAGCCGCGGUAAUUCCAGCUCCAAUAGCGUAUAUUAAAGUUGUUGCAGUUAAAAAGCUCGUAGUUGAAUUUCGGGGUUAGUAGGUUGGUCAUGCCUCUGGUAUGUACUGGUCUCACUGAUUCCUCCUUCCUUAUGAACCGUAAUGCCAUUAAUUUGGUGUUGCGGGAAAUUUGGACUGUUACUUUGAAAAAAUUAGAGUGUUUAAAGCAAGCUAACGCUUGAAUACAUUAGCAUGGAAUAAUGAAAUAGGACGUUCGAUCUUAUUUUGUUGGUUUCUAGGAUUGACGUAAUGAUUAAUAGGGAUAGUUGGGGGCAUUAGUAUUCAAUUGUCAGAGGUGAAAUUCUUGGAUUUAUUGAAGACUAACUACUGCGAAAGCAUUUGCCAGGGAUGUUUUCAUUAAUCAAGAACGAAAGUUAGGGGAUCGAAGACGAUCAGAUACCGUCGUAGUCUUAACCAUAAACUAUGCCGACUAGGGAUCGGAUGAUGUUAAUUUUUUAAUGACUCAUUCGGCGACUUACGGGAAACCAAAGUGUUUGGGUUC
rnacentral:rRNA from 1 species